rnacentral:tRNA from 1 species
GCUUUUGGUUCAGUGGUAGAAUGCUCGCCUACCACGCGGGCGCACAGGGUUCAAUUCCCGGCCGAUGCA